AGACGCAAAACUUUAAAUAUCCGUGAGCUACUGGUACAAAAAUCGAGUUUUUUUGGUGUGCCGUUGUGUCCAGUAAUUAGCCGGUACCAUCCAGUGCUUAGUUUUUUUUUCAUUUUCCUGCUGAUAUCAAGGCUAGAACCAAAACUUGCCACUACAGCUAACACAUGGUUUGUAGCUGCCUGCUAAUUCAAAGCUUGAGGAUAUUGAAGACCCAGCGUCAGAAAUGGGAAGACGGGGGUUAAAAGGAAGCUGUUCACGCUUCGUUCAGUGGAAUAAUUUGUAGGAGGAAAUCCACUGCUACGGGAACAGGCUGAAAACGGAGGCAGCGAUUCGGCACAAGGUUUGCAUCGCAACACCUCUUGAUGUGUUUCUGAGCCAUGAUCGCUGUGCCGAUUACCUUUCCAUUGGAUCCAAGCACCUGGACCAGCUGAUGGCGUCCAUCAGUCCACAGUCUGCCGGAUCAUCACAACGUGGACUAACUUUUUUUUUUUUUUUUUUACAGUACUUGGUUUAACUAUGAUCUUGAAACUGGAGCACCAGAUAUGCAAAAAUCUACCUACAAACUUUGUUGGCUACCCUGACACUGCAGUCAUCCUGGGGCUGAGCCGGUCUUCCUUUCCUCCAGAGUGACGAGUUUUCAUCACCAGUAAAGGCAAACAAGUCUGAUGUCUGAGCUAGGAAGUAUAUUAUAUAUUCACUGUUCAUUUUGUUAUCCUGUUUGUACCUACAAUAAAAUUGAAUCUCAUUUGUAAUACUCUA